AGAUUGAACGCUGGCGGCAUGCCUAACACAUGCAAGUCGAACGGGAGUAGCAAUACUCUAGUGGCGGACGGGUGAGGAAUACGUAGGAAUUUGCCCUUAAGUGGGGGAUAACCCGGGGAAACCCGGAUUAAUACCGCAUGACCUCGAAAGAGCAAAGUGGGGGAUCGCAAGACCUCACGCUUUUGGAGAAGCCUACGUCGGAUUAGCUAGUUGGUGAGGUAAUGGCUCACCAAGGCGACGAUCCGUAACUGGUCUGAGAGGAUGAUCAGUCACACCGGAACUGAGACACGGUCCGGACUCCUACGGGAGGCAGCAGUGGGGAAUAUUGGACAAUGGGCGCAAGCCUGAUCCAGUCAAUGCCGCGUAGUGUGAAGAAGGCCUUACGGUUAGUAAAGCUACGUUUAAGGUUAGGGAAAGAAAAACGUACGACUUACGUAACGACAAGUAGAGUAC
rnacentral:rRNA from 1 species